GUCGGGGUAGUAUAAGUAGUGCGGCCGUUUUUCGAGCGGUUAGUGGUUUUAACUAACCCCCCGAUU